UGGAUAGCACGAAUAGGUUGGAUCCCUACUUGGGUAGCGACGUCCUCUCGUGCAUUCCUCUUCAAUUAUUGGCACAAGAGCUUCUUUUGCCUUGGCCAAGCGUUAGUUUCCUGUGCUGUAUACCUACAUCGAUGGAAUUUUUUGGGCAAUCAAUCCCAAGCUUUUCCACUGCUGCCCGUCUACACGGUGCGGCAUCGGAAAAACGUUAAAGCGAAUUUCGUGUUGCAAAUUGCAUAUAAUUUGCUAUGCAGUCUCGCCCCACGAGCGUAGCUUGAUUUUGGGGAUUCAGAAAACACUGCGGGUAAGGGUCGUAUAACCCUCUAUUUGCCCACAAAUUGGCAUUACAUGCCCCAUUCGAUUGACUAUCGAUGUCUUAUAGAUGUUUUACAUCUUGCGACUCGAUGUCUCUGAGGAAUGCUACCUGGUUGAUCCUGCCAGUAGUCAUAUGCUUGUCUCAAAGAUUAAGCCA
rnacentral:misc_RNA from 1 species